UGAUCGAGGGAUCCGACUACUGGAAAUCAAGGCCACCUCCUUGAAUGUGCGAGCUCAAAGCGCACAGAAACAGCUGCCGAAAUCUGUAUAAAAGAAAUCGGGCUGGCUUUGUCUGUCCAUUACAUGCUUUCUGUACCUUCGCAGUGUUUAACUCGAUUAAAAUACUGUAAACAGAAGUUAUCCAUCGUUUUAACUGCGUCUUCCAAAUACGCACUGUUGGUUACCGUUGUGCUGUUUCUGCCUGUAUUGUUCGGAGUAAGUGUUCCGACGCAGAUUUCCGUACUGCGAAUAUGCAUUCACCGAUGGGAAAGGUCUCCAUGGCUGGAAUUUUGCUGGGUUUGUUGCUUGUGCAAGCGAUGACUGGUGCAGCUGAUGCUUGGCCCCCGAAACCAAAACCGGCACCCCCCAAAUGUUGCAACUGGGCAUGGGAAGGAUCCGAAUGCUUCUGGACCGGUUGGGGCUACGCGUACAAGCCGCGUCCGGAAAAUCCCAACAAAAACAAGUUCUGUAAAACUUAGUUGGCUCGUCAGCGAAUCGAUAUCGAACAAUUCUAUGGUCUUCAAUUUUACUCGUACUCUGGUUCAUAGCUUCCAUACAAGAUUGUAUUCAUCAAAUUACGUGUGCGAUACACCUAACGCAAAAACAACGAAACUAACUGUAUCCGUAACUCAUAGCUCUCAUUACAGGUCUAUAAUUUUUUGUCUUUAUGCUGAACCUUAGUUUACGUUCUUAAUCGCAAGUGUUUAAAUACGUGACCUCAUGCGGAAACCGAAAUUUUUGCAUAAACCGUCGUUGA